GAAAUGCGAUAAGUAAUGUGAAUUGCAGAAUUCAGUGAAUCAUCGAAUCUUUGAACGCACCUUGCGCUCCUUGGUAUUCCUUGGAGCAUGCCUGUUUGAGUAUCAUGAAAUCUUCAAAGUAAAUCUUUUGUUAACUCAAUUGGUUUCUACUUUGGUAUUGGAGGUCUUUGCAGCUUCACACCUGCUCCUCUUUGUUCAUUAGCUGGAUCUCAGUGUUAUGCUUGGUUCCACUCGGCGUGAUAAGUUAUCUAUCGCUGAGGACACUGUAAAAGGUGGCCAAGGUAAAUUCAGAUGAACCGCUUCUAAUAGUCCAUUGACUUGGACAAUACUUUUAUGAUCUGAUCUCAAAUCAGGUAGGACUACCCGCUGAACUUAAGC
rnacentral:misc_RNA from 1 species